rnacentral:rRNA from 1 species
AGUGAACGCUGGCGGUAGGCCUAACACAUGCAAGUCGAACGGCAGCACAGUAAGCGCUUGCUCUUACGGGUGGCGAGUGGCGGACGGGUGAGGAAUACAUCGGAAUCUACUUUUUCGUGGGGGAUAACGUAGGGAAACUUACGCUAAUACCGCAUACGACCUACGGGUGAAAGCAGGGGAUCUUCGGACCUUGCGCGAUUGAAUGAGCCGAUGUCGGAUUAGCUAGUUGGCGGGGUAAAGGCCCACCAAGGCGACGAUCCGUAGCUGGUCUGAGAGGAUGAUCAGCCACACUGGAACUGAGACACGGUCCAGACUCCUACGGGAGGCAGCAGUGGGGAAUAUUGGACAAUGGGCGCAAGCCUGAUCCAGCCAUACCGCGUGAGUGAAGAAGGCCUUCGGGUUGUAAAGCCCUUUUGUUGGGAAAGAAAAGCAGCAGGUUAAUACCCCGAUGUUCUGACGGUGCCCAAAGAAUAAGCACCGGCUAACUUCGUG